UUUUUCCUCUAUUUUGCUGUAAGGAAUAGCAGAAUCAGCUUUGUUAAAGCUAUAGGAGACAGCUGGGGAAGCCAUGUUUUACAUCGUCUGUUUACCUCAAAUGCGUAGCUUACACAAUGUUGUCUUGUUGGAAUGAGCUCAGUUUUUGGCAAAACGGGCGCAAAUUCCUGGCGAAGGAUCAAGACUUUUUUUUUCUUCAUGAUCCAAUGCCAGCCUCGCUAGAAUGAGAAUCCCGCAGUCUGCUGUCUGGCUGGUGGACAUCUGUUCUGCUGUCCUUGGGGCUGAGGUAGUAGAUUGGAUAGUUGUGGAGCCCUGUGCUCUCUCACUGAGAUAACUAUACAAUCUACUGUCUUUCCUAAGGCGACAGCCAAAUCAUCCACAAACAACAUGGACUCGUUUGAAAAAGUGUCUGCAUUCCUCCAGUGAGUCGGAAAGGAUAUUCACUCACAUUACAGAAGUAAAAUGGGCUGGGAUUACAUACGCAAACAUGUCAGGUGCUGGGACUGUCCUUUGGUGUCCUGACAGGG